rnacentral:rRNA from 1 species
AGUGGCGUAAGUGUGCGUAACACGUGGGCAAUCUGCCGAAGAGUGGGGGAUAGCUCGCCAAAAGGCGAAUUAAUACCGCAUGUGGCUUGUGAAGGAAUCUUCACUGGGCCAAAGCCGGGGCAACCUGGCGCUCUUUGAUGAGCCCGCGGCCUAUCAGCUUGUUGGCGGGGUAACGGCCCACCAAGGCGAUGACGGGUAGCUGGUCUGAGAGGACGACCAGCCACACUGGAACUGAGACACGGUCCAGACACCUACGGGUGGCAGCAGUCGAGAAUUUUUCUCAAUGGGGGAAACCCUGAAGGAGCGACGCCGCGUGGAGGAUGAAGGUCUUCGGAUUGUAAACUCCUGUCAUUAGGGAACAAUUGUUCGCGAUUAACUGUCGCGGGCUUGAUAGUACCUGAAGAGGAAGAGACGGCUAACUCUGUGCCAGCAGCCGCGGUAAUACAGAGGUCUCAAGCGUUGUUCGGAUUCAUUGGGCGUAAAGGGUGCGUAGGCGGCGGGGCAAGUCAGGUGUGAAAUCUCGGGGCUCAACUCCGAAACUGCACUUGA